rnacentral:rRNA from 1 species
GUGAGGAAUAUUGGUCAAUGGGCGCAAGCCUGAACCAGCCAUGCCGCGUGCAGGAAGACGGUCCUAUGGAUUGUAAACUGCUUUUAUUUGGGAAUAAACUCCGGUACGUGUACCGGCCUGAAGGUACCAAAUGAAUAAGCACCGGCUAACUCCGUGCCAGCAGCCGCGGUAAUACGGAGGGUGCAAGCGUUAUCCGGCAUCAUUGGGUUUAAAGGGUCCGCAGGCGGUCUUAUAAGUCAGUGGUGAAAGCCUACAGCUCAACUGUAGAACUGCCAUUGAUACUGUAGGACAUGAAUUCGAUCGAAGUGGGCGGAAUGUGACAUGUAGCGGUGAAAUGCUUAGAUAUGUCACAGAACACCGAUAGCGAAGGCAGCUCACUAGGUCUGGAUUGACGCUCAGGGACGAAAGCGUGGGGAGCAAACAGGAUUAGAAACCCCGGUAGUCC